GAUGAACGCUAGCGACAGGCCUAACACAUGCAAGUCGAGGGGCAGCGAGGAUAAAGCUUGCUUUAUUUGUCGGCGACCGGCGCACAGGUGAGUAACGCGUAUGCAACCUUCCGCUACUCGGGGGAUCACCCGGAGAAAUUCGGACUAAAACCGUAUGUGCUUAGGAUUUGCAUGAAUUUUAAGUGAAAAGGUAUGAGUAGCGAUGGGAAUGCGUAUGAUUAGAUAGUUGGCGGGGUAACGGCCCACCAAGGCGACGAUAAGUAGGGGUUCUGGGAGGAAGGUCCCCCACACUGGUACUGAGACACGGACCAGACUCCUACGGGAGGCAGCAGUGAGGAAUAUUGGUCAAUGGGCGAGAGCCUGAACCAGGCAAGUCGCGUGAAGGAUGACUGAUCUAUGGUUUGUAAACUUCUUUUACAAGGGAAUAAAGUGCAGCACGUGUGCUGUUUUGUAUGUACCUUAUGAAUAAGCAUCGGCUAACUCCGUGCCAGCCGCCGCCGUAAUAC
rnacentral:rRNA from 1 species